rnacentral:rRNA from 1 species
CUGGGUGCUUCUAGCGGAGGAGCUACACCUGUUCCCAUCUCGAACACAGAAGUUAAGACCCCCAGCGCCGAUGAUACUCUUCAUUGGGGAAAGUAGGUCAGCGCCCGGA